UCCGGAGACGUCGGCGGGG
rnacentral:snRNA from 1 species